GUAGGUAAAGAAUGCUAAGUGCAUUAUUAGUGCAGGAAUUGGAAUUACUGUCAACAUUAGGGACUGUAAUCAGAUGGCGACAAGUGUAAACUAAGAGAUUUAAUUCUUGCAGGUCUAGUCAACAAGAUAACCGCCGCACAAGUGGAGCUGGUUGGAGUUGAACAGCCAUCUCUAUAAAUAUGAAUUCGGUCAAAGUACGUGUCAUGAAAGACAUGCAGAGCGUACCGCUUCAGCGCAAACGGGGGAAACUGAGACUUGUUUUCAACGCCGGGAAUCAUGGGAACUCUUACGGUUUCGGAAGAGACCACAAAGUUGGGCGUUGGUGUUUCUGAAGGCAUGAAAGAAGAUUGGAGAGGAACGAUAGGAAGCUACAAGGCUCGAAAGUAAUUCCGGGUGGACUUUUCCGAUGAGAAGCAAGGCGGUGAGAUUUGAAGCCAGGACAGGUUUGAGGAUGCGUUCUAAACGUGUAAAUGACAAUACACGUAGUGAUUGUAUAAUUCCUGGAAAUAGCUUUUGCAGCUCUUGAAGCGGGGCAUCGUGGAAAACGAAGACACUGCUUUAACUGCUUGGGCUGACAUUGGAGGGGGGAGGGGUGCCUCUUGAGCAAUCAGAGAUUUGACUUACGGGUGCUUGACGGCUUAAUGGAGCAGUGCAGUGCAAAAACCCCACAAUGAGCGUUCUGUGCACGUGGCUCGAGCAUAGAACACGCCGCUGGUAACCAUGUUUUCGGGCGAUGAAUCUAAUAUGAAUAUUGAGUUCAGUUUUUUUUCCAGGAGAGGGGAGUCCCGAACGACAAUGCUGCCGAAAAAUUGAUGCUUCUUUUGUAGGAGAUAAGUUGCCAAUUUAUGGAUCCAGGCUAUGUUGUAAUCGAUUUUCGCGUGAAAGCGACUAACAAGCAUUUCAGAGCGCAGCUCUUAAGUGCCCGUUCCUGGAUUCAGCGUCGGCGUCCCUUGCCAUAACCGCGCGAACGCGCUCGUGCCACAGUUCACGCGUUUGUCGUCGUCUUCCACAGCUGGCUCCGAUGCCACUCAUCCUGCCUGCAUUCCCAUACUGCCUCUCCCUCUGCGAAGGCACUGACGGAACUGGCCCACUGCCAGUGGGUGCGGUGAUUUCCGUGUCAAAUUCUUUGCCUCAAUAUAUCGUGAAAUGAAAACACGUAUACAGCGGCGCUCAAAUUUCGCAUUAGGGAGUAUCGUAAUCGUCGGGCAUUUAUUCUUUUGUUGCGACAUUCAGAUCUUAUCUGGGAAGGUAUAGGCUGACUUCAGCGCUUGCACAUUUUGCAAACUUGUGUGGACCUGCUGGAGAGUCAUUGCCGAAGGUCAGAUGCAUAUGUCGUCUACGCAAAUCGGGAGAACGACUGCUUGUGUUAUUGAUUUUGCUAAGCCACGAAGAGUGAAAUUGAACAAAGCAGGGCUCUAAACCCAACCUUAUCGGAAUACACGACUCGCGUAGUGCUCGGUAGGUUGGCCAUCUUCACUGAAAACAAAGAAAGCAUCUUCGGGUGAUGUGCCUCUGAAACCACUGACCCCAAGUGUCAACAGUCGCGAGUGCGUCAACAAGGACUUCAGGAGAAGCAUAGUCCUAAACACCCUUCACGUCUUGGAAUAGCACUACAGACAUACGCUUGACUAAUUUCCUUUGCUGGAAGACAGAAGUAGAACAAUGUAGUCGAUCGACGAACGGCCACCUCGAAAGCCUAUCACGCGGCGGGUAAACAAUGCGGCAUUCGAUAAAUCCUUUUAUUUAGAUUAGUUUCAGAAAUGCGCGUUACUUUUCUUUUUUUUUACUAAUUUACAGCUGGUUUAAUUUUGGACCUAGACACUUUACUAUGAAACGUACAUAGUGAAAUGACACCCAAUUAAAGAAAACUUCACUUUCCGUCGCACUUAUGUUGUGUUGAUAUUGUGUGCUGCUUUGCUCCAAUUCCGUUGUGUGAAAGUUUCAUUGCCAGAAGUAUAGUCGUUAUGUUUGAAAUCAAUGACAGUUCGUUGAAAUGACGGGGGAACGUUACUGAAAUGUAAAAGAACAGCGUCAUCUUCGUGACACUAAUCGCAGCUCAAAAUAUUUGUUGCAGGUAAUUCCAAGAGGAAAGGAGUGUAAAUUAAAAUGCAUGCAUGAGGUAAAGGUGGGAUUGUACGUCAAGACGUACUCCAUUAUGGAGAAUGCACCGGACUACACGCCUUGCGGAGCCAAGAUGGCGUGCGUAAGGGGUUACUGCGUGUAUGCACCGAACAUUCCGCCAAUGAAUCCCGGAGGAAAAAAGAUAAUUCCUGGCUCUGCCACGUAUCCGCCAAGACAAGCUUCCGCAAAACAAUACCCUUAGAUGAGAAGAUAAAGGAGUUAUUGGCCGCCAAGAGGAAUCCGUUGUAAGACUUUUGUCACAAUAUUAAGUCUGCAGCCGCUGGCAAUACAGAGUACCUUGGAAGAGCGUGGAAGAGCUACAACUCUCCCCUUCCUCCAAAAAUAAUAAAUAACGGUGAUGUAAGA